CUGGUGUACCGGUUGUGACGCCAGUCGCAUCGCCGGGUAGCUAUGUUCGGAAGAGAUAACCGCUGAAAGCAUCUAAGCGGGAAACUCGCCUCAAGAUGAGACUUCCCCGGGGACUAGAUCCCCUUGAAGGGUCGUUCGAGACCAGGACGUUGAUAGGUCAGGUGUGGAAGCGCAGUAAUGCGUUAAGCUAACUGAUACUAAUUGCCCGUAAGGCUUGAUCCUAUAACAG
rnacentral:rRNA from 1 species